UAUGAUCUGUUUUUUUCAGGCUUCAGUAGGUGCGCUUUACAAAAUUGUUUGUGCACUCCUUGAGCUAGAACAGUCGAAGGCCCGUAUUUGGGACCAUUAUGAAAAGAGUAAAAAUCAUAUUUUGACCAACUUUGAUCAAACCUUAGAAGAAGCUCAGUUGCAAAUGGACCAGGAGAUUCUUUUGGAGGUGCAAGCUGAUGAGAUUUGGCCUUCUAAUUUAAACACACAUCCAGCAGGAAAUGAAUAUGCUUUGGUCCCACUGGAACCUUCAAGGUCAUCUAUUACAAUUGCUGGAGGCCCCACUUUGUCAAAUGGUUAUUCAACUGGGUUUGGCACCCAUUUGCUACAGGGGAAUAAUUUUAGCUUACCACUAAGGGAUGCAGAUAGUGAUGACAUUUUAAACAAUAGGUCGAAAGUAGACAGUUGCGGACUGACAGGAUUGCACAAUCUGGGCAACACUUGCUUCAUGAACAGUGCCAUUCAAUGUUUAGUUCACACACCCCCUGUGGUUGAGUACUUUUUGAAAGAUUACAGUGAAGAGAUAAACGAGGAGAAUCCUUUGGGAAUGCAAGAAACCUACAUUACACAGCUAAGUGCAAUGCUUGUACAGGGUGAGCUUGCAAUUGCAUUUGGGGAGUUAUUAAGGAAGUUAUGGUCAUCAGGACGGACAUCUAUUGCACCACGUGCAUUUAAAGCAAAACUAGCUCGGUUUGCUCCCCAAUUUAGUGGAUAUAAUCAACAUGAUUCUCAAGAGCUUCUUGCAUUUCUAUUGGAUGGGCUGCAUGAAGAUUUAAACCGUGUAAGAAAAAAACCCUACAUUGAAGCAAGAGAUGCAGAUGGUCGUCCAGAUGAGGAAUUUGCUGAUGAAUGUUGGAAAAAUCAUAAGGCUCGGAAUGAUUCUAUAAUUGUGGAUGUUUGCCAGGGUCAAUACAAGUCAACGUUGGUAUGCCCAGUUUGCGGCAAAGUUUCUGUAACAUUUGAUCCCUUCAUGUACUUGUCAUUGCCGCUGCCUUCAACAGUUACACGGAUGAUGACUGUUACUGUAUUCAGUGGUGAUGGGAGUUCUCUCCCCAUGCCUUUCACUGUAACUUUACCAAAAAAUGGUUGUUGCAAAGAUCUAAUUCGAGCAUUGAGUGCAUCUUGUUGCUUAAAGAGUUCUGAAGCAUUGUUGUUUGCAGAGGUUUAUGACCACCGUAUCUAUCGCUACCUGGAGAAUCCCUUUGAGUCAUUAUCUAAUAUAAAAGAUGAGGAGCAUAUCGUAGCCUAUAGAGUUCCCAUAAAUCAUGAUAAAUUACUGAGAUUAGAGAUAAUGCAUAGGAGAACAGACAGAUUUUUAUCCGAGCCGCAGUUUAAUGUUCACAGGAAGCUUAUUGGAGCUCCAUUGGUUACAUAUUUACCCAAGGGUUCUAUAACUGGGGCAAACAUCCAUGCUGCAGUGAGUGUUGUUCUUGCACCAUUGCUGCGAGCAAAAGCAUUUCCUCCUGUGAAUCAGGUGCAAUUUAGCAAAGAAAAUGGUGGUGGGCCAAGUUUGGAUUCUAUCGUUCUGACAGAUGAUGGUACCUGUUCAAGUCACAAGGACAUAUCCACAUCCAAUAUGGCGUUGGAAGAGAGAGCUAAUGGGCCUCCAUCCUUGCAGCUUGCCUUAACUGAUGAUAAGGGUGCCAGCAGAACCUCUAUUGACACUGAUUCUAGUAUUUUUCCUGGAUCUUGCAUAAGGGUAUUGAUGGACUGGCCGGUCAGAGAACAUGAUUUAUAUGAUUUCAGCUUCCUUGAGGAUCUACCUGAAGUUUUCAAGUCUGGAUGCAUGUUGAAGAAAACACGGCAGGAGGCAGUCACUUUGUUUUCAUGCUUGGAAACAUUCUUAAAGGAGGAACCUCUAGGCCCUGAUGACAUGUGGUUGGUAUUGUCCUAGCUGCAAGGAACACAGGCAAGCAACAAAGAAGCUGGACUUAUGGAGGUUGCCCGAGAUCUUAGUAGUUCACUUGAAACGAUUCUCUUACAGUCGAUUCUUGAAGAACAAACUUGACACCUUUGUGAACUUCCCUGUUCACAAUCUUGAUUUAGGCAAGUAUGUGAAAUGCAGGGCCGUUCCUCGCCAUUCUUAUGUAUAUGAACUCUAUGCUAUCAGCAAUCAUUAUGGUGGCUUAGGUGGCGGUCACUACUCCGCAUAUGCAAAGUUAAUAGAAGAGGACAGCUGGUAUCAUUUUGAUGACAGUCAUGUUUCCCCUGUGAAUGAGCAUGAAAUCAAGACAUCAGCAGCUUAUGUGCUGUUCUAUCGGCGAGUUGAAGUUGAUUCCAAGAUGAGUGUGGAGGAAACAUCCUCCUCUGCUAACUCAAGAAGUUGCUGAGUAUGGAGUAGCAUGGACUUCACUUUUAAAGUCAUGAUUCGGUUCUGAUACUGCUAGAAAUGAUGGCCAAGUCCCUUGAAGCAGCUGACUCUGCUGCUGUGGUUUUUGUGAUGGCCCUGUUAGUGGGGUGAUACGCAGGAGUUUUGGCUUGUCAACUGGCUAUUGAAUAUCUGCUGCUCUAUACAUGUUGACCGGUCGGCAGUGGUGUCCAAAUUCUAGUUCGUAAAGCUGAUCAGGGUGCUCAUAUUGCAGUGUUAGAAAUUUUUGGUUGAUUUUUUUAUAUUCUUUGAGUGGUAAUCAUCAUAUAAGUUUCUGUUAUCAAAAAGCUCAUCAUGUAAGUUUCCAAUUUUCUGUCUUCCUAUUAUUGGUGAAAUUGGAGGGUAUUUGUGUUCUUGAUCCAUAUCAAUUUUAUACCUCCUUUUGGAAGCACUUUACCCAUGGACAGGGUACCUAGGGUUAUCUAGACUUUUGCUUGUAACCUGCAGUUAGACUUUUUUUUUUUUCAAGGCAGCUUCACAUUCCCUAGGCUACAUUUGUCUGUGGCAUAGGCAAGACUGAGUAGCAAAAUUUAGAAUAAUGAGAGUUGUUACAGGUGGAAUUGUUGUACCUCGUGUUUGUUGGGGGUUCCGU